rnacentral:rRNA from 1 species
UAGGGAAUCUUCGGCAAUGGGGGGAACCCUGACCGAGCAACGCCGCGUGAGUGAAGAAGGUUUUCGGAUCGUAAAGCUCUGUUGUUAAGGAAGAACGAGUGUGAGAAUGGAAAGUUCAUGCUGUGACGGUACUUAACCAGAAAGGGACGGCUAACUACGUGCCAGCAGCCGCGGUAAUACGUAGGUCCCGAGCGUUGUCCGGAUUUAUUGGGCGUAAAGCGAGCGCAGGCGGUUAGAAAAGUCUGAAGUGAAAGGCAGUGGCUCAACCAUUGUAGGCUUUGGAAACUGUUUAACUUGAGUGCAGAAGGGGAGAGUGGAAUUCCAUGUGUAGCGGUGAAAUGCGUAGAUAUAUGGAGGAACACCGGUGGCGAAAGCGGCUCUCUGGUCUGUAACUGACGCGGAGGAUCGAAAGCGUGGGGAGCGAACAGG